GCAGCGAAACGCGAUAGGUAAUGUGAAUUGCAGAAUUCCGUGAAUCAUCGAAUCUUUGAACGCACCUUGCGCUCCAUGGUAUUCCGUGGAGCAUGCCUGUUUGAGUGCCGUGAAUUCUCUCUCCCCAAGCGGUUGCGAUUGCACUGCUUUGGCGGACGAGGUUGGAUGGGUGCUUCUGCCUGUUUCGCAAGAAACAGGCUCGCCCGAAAUGCAUUAGCGCCUUUGGGACACACUCUGCAAACCGCUCUGAAAGGGAGGGCGGCAGAGGGGAUGGAGGAACUCCGCCCGUCAGCUAUACCAAACUUUGCCCCAGGCAAGCGCAUGGCAUGAUACGUCAUUUGCUGUGUGUGCGUCCUGAGGCAAGGGGCCGAUGUGGUGCCUUUGUCACUCUGUGGGUGUGUUGGUGCGCUACCAAUCCUGCGUGGAGGCUGGUCUGUGCGCAAGCAUGGAGCAGUUCUUGUGAACGCAUUCCCUUUUUUCAUUUCUGGUCUCAAAUCAGGUAGGAUCACCCGCUGAACUUAAGCAUAUCAAUAAACGGGAGGAAAAAUACCUGAUUUUGAGACCAAAAUUGA
rnacentral:rRNA from 1 species